GUAGGUGGCAAGCGUUGUCCGGAAUUAUUGGGCGUAAAGCGCGCGCAGGUGGUUCUUUAAGUCUGAUGUGAAAGCCCCCGGCUCAACCGGGGAGGGUCAUUGGAAACUGGGGAACUUGAGUGCAGGAGAGGAAAGUGGAAUUCCACGUGUAGCGGCGAAAUGCGUAGAUAUGUGGAGGAACACCAGUGGCGAAGGCGACUUUCUGGCCUGUAACUGACACUGAGGCGCGAAAGCGUGGGGAGCAAACAGGGAUUAGAUACCCUGGUAGUCCACGCCGUAAACGAUGAGUGCUAAGUGUUGGGGGGGUUUCCCGCCCCUCAGUGCUGCAGCUAACGCAUUAAGCACUCCGCCUGGGGAGUACGGUCGCAAGACUG
rnacentral:rRNA from 1 species